GAAUCAAAAAUGCACGGAAACAAUGCCACAGUUGGCUUUACUGUCAUCUAACAGUUGCUAAUUGCCAGUAUUUCAUUUUAAUGAAAUACCAGUUUCCCAGAAUAAAAUAACGUGACUGGAUUUAGGAAGUUUGCUAUCUGGGCUGCCCUUUCAGGGCUUUGAUAGAUUGUGAAUGUCGAAGAAAGGCUACAUCU
rnacentral:snoRNA from 1 species